rnacentral:rRNA from 1 species
AUUGAACGCUGGCGGCAUGCCUUACACAUGCAAGUCGAACGGCAGCACGGGUGCUUGCACCUGGUGGCGAGUGGCGAACGGGUGAGUAAUACAUCGGAACGUACCUUAUCGUGGGGGAUAACGCAGCGAAAGCUGUGCUAAUACCGCAUACGCCCUGAGGGGGAAAGCGGGGGAUCGCAAGACCUCGCGCGAUUAGAGCGGCCGAUGCCUGACUAGCUUGUUGGUGGGGUAAAAACCCACCAAGGCGACGAUCAGUAGCUGGUCUGAGAGGACGGUAGGCCACACUGGGACGGAGAAACGGCCCAGACUCCGACGGGAGGCAGCAGUGGGGAAUUUUGGACAAUGGGGGCAACCCUGAUCCAGCAAUGCCGCGUGAGUGAAGAAGGCCUUCGGGUUGUAAAGCUCUUUUGUCAGGGAAGAAACACCGGCUCUAACACAGUCCGGGAAUGACGGUACCUGAAGAAUAAGCACCGGCUAACUACGUGCCAGCCGCCGCCGUAA